rnacentral:rRNA from 1 species
AUACGGAGGGUGCAAGCGUUAUCCGGAAUCAUUGGGUUUAAAGGGUCCGUAGGCGGACUAAUAAGUCAGGGGUGAAAUCCCACAGCUUAACUGUGGAACUGCCUUUGAUACUGUUAGUCUUGAGUUAUAUGGAAGUAGAUAGAAUGUGUAGUGUAGCGGUGAAAUGCUUAGAGAUUACACAGAAUACCGAUUGCGAAGGCAGUCUACUACAUAUAUACUGACGCUAAUGGACGAAAGCGUGGGGAGCGAACAGGAUUAGAAACCCCAGUAGUCC